AUCCAGCUGACGAGUUCCAGAUAAGAGGAAACUCACGUCUUGGAU
rfam:Schistosoma rodhaini strain Burundi genome assembly, scaffold: SROB_scaffold0003599